rnacentral:rRNA from 1 species
AACGAACGCUGGCGGCAUGCCUAAUACAUGCAAGUCGAACGCUAAAGGUGGGUACAUUUGCCGACUGGAGGGGCAGCGGACGGGUGAGUAACGCAUGUGGAGUCUGCCUUUGAGCGGGGGGCAAUAAUUGGGGACGAAUGCUAAUACCGCAUAAAAACUUUAAACACAAGUGGUAAGCGUGAAAGAAGCAAUUUCAUCACGCAAAGGUGAACCCGCGUUGUAUUAGCUAGUUGGUGAGGUAAAGGCUCACGAAGGCGAGGAUACAUAGACGACCUGAGAGGGUGCUCGGCCAAGUUGGGACUGAGACACGGCCCAACACCCUACGGGAGGGAGAAGGAGGGGAUUUUUGGCGAAGGAAGCAAGUCUGAAUGAGGAACGACGGGUGAGUGAAGGAGGUUUUAGGAUCGUAAAACUCUUUUGGUAGAGAAGGUCGUUGAUCAGAGUGACACGCUCAUCAAGUGACGGUACCGACAGAAUAAGCGCCGGCUAACUCCGUG